rnacentral:rRNA from 1 species
UACGUAGGGUGCGAGCGUUGUCCGGAAUUAUUGGGCGUAAAGAGCUCGUUAGGCGGUGUGUCACGUCGGCCGUGAAAACCUGCAGCUUAACUGUGGGCGUGCGGUCGAUACGGGCAUCACUGGAGUUCGGCAGGGGAGACUGGAAUUCCUGGUGUAGCGGUGAAAUGCGCAGAUAUCAGGAGGAACACCGGUGGCGAAGGCGGGUCUCUGGACAGUUCCUGACGCUGAGGCAACGAAGGCCAGGGGAGCAAACGGG